GCAGGCGUGGCGGAAUUGGCAGACGCACUAGACUUAGGAUCUAGCGCCAAUGGCAUGGGGGUUCAAGUCCCUUCGCCUGCACCA
rnacentral:tRNA from 2 species